GAUCAUGGCUCAGGAUGAACGCUAGCUACAGGCUUAACACAUGCAAGUCGAGGGGCAUCGAGAAGAAAGCUUGCUUCUUGUCGGCGACCGGCGCACGGGUGAGUAACGCGUAUCCAACCUACCCUUUACACUGGGAUAGCCCGUUGAAAAGCGGAUUAAUACCAGAUGCAGUCCUUUGCGGACAUCUAAGUAGGACGAAAGGCUUUUCCGGUAGAGGAUGGGGAUGCGUCCGAUUAGCUUGUUGGCGGGGUAACGGCCCACCAAGGCGACGAUCGGUAGGGGUUCUGAGAGGAAGGUCCCCCACACUGGUACUGAGACACGGACCAGACUCCUACGGGAGGCAGCAGUGAGGAAUAUUGGUCAAUGGGCGGAAGCCUGAACCAGCCAAAAGUAGCGUGCAGGAUGACGGCCCUAUGGGUUGUAAACUGCUUUUAUAGGGGAAUAAAGUUCGGGACGUGUCCCGUUUUGUAUGUACCCUAUGAAUAAGGACCGGCUAAUUCCGUGCCAGCAGCGGC
rnacentral:rRNA from 1 species